GCGGGUGUAGCUCAAUGGUAGAGCUCCAGCUUCCCAAGCUGGCGGCGUGGGUUCGAUUCCCAUCACCCGCUCCA
rnacentral:tRNA from 1 species